UACGACGGCCAAAGUGGUGGUGACACACCUGGUCUCGUCCGAUCCCAGAAGUUAAGUCCACCUACGUUCCCUGUGGUACUGUUGUGCGCGAGCCAACGGGAAGCUUGGCCCCGCAAGGG
rnacentral:rRNA from 1 species